rnacentral:rRNA from 1 species
AGUAAUCGAAGCAGUGAACUUAAGCCCCAGUAAACGGCGGCCGUAACUAUAACGGUCCUAAGGUAGCGAAAUUCCUUGUCGGGUAAGUUCCGACCCGCACGAAAGGCGUAACGAUUUGGGCACUGUCCCAACAACAGACUCGGUGAAAUUGUAAUUCCGGUGAAGAUGCCGGAUACCUGCGACAGGACGGAAAGACCCCAUGGAGCUUUACUGUAGCUUGACAUUGGGUCUUGGUACUACAUGUACAGGAUAGGUGGGAGGCUUUGAAACCAGGACGCCAGUUUUGGCGGAGCCAUCCUUGGGAUACCACCCUUGUAGUACUGGGACUCUAACCAUAGGCCAUGAAUCUGGUCUUGGGACACUGUCAGGUGGGCAGUUUGACUGGGGCGGUCGCCUCCCAAAAGGUAACGGAGGCGCUCAAAGGUUCUCUCAGUACGGUCGGAAAUCGUACGUAGAGUGUAAAGGCAAAAGAGAGCUUGAUUGCAAGACAUACAGGUCGAGCAAGGAUGAAAAUCGGACUUAGUGAUCCGGUGGUUC